CACGUAGGGACCGAGCGUUGUCCGGAUUUAUUGGGCGUAAAGAGCGUGUAGGCGGCUUUACAGGUCCGUUGUGAAAACUCGAGGCUCAACCUCGAGACGCCGGUGGAAACCGUAAGGCUAGAGUCCGGAAGAGGAGAGUGGAAUUCCUGGUGUAGCGGUGAAAUGCGCAGAUAUCAGGAAGAACACCCGUGGCGAAGGCGGCUCUCUGGGACGGUACUGACGCUGAGACGCGAAAGCGUGGGGAGCGAACAGG
rnacentral:rRNA from 1 species